GUAGAAAUGCCAGAAAAUUUAUGGGGUUAAUUUAGGUUUAAUUAAUGGCUUUUAGCCUUUCUAUU
rnacentral:tRNA from 1 species